CAUCAAGUAGCUAAGAGUUAGCUUUGGUCUCUUAAACCAAAUUAGGAUAUAUUAACAAAUAUUCUUGAUG
rnacentral:tRNA from 1 species